rnacentral:lncRNA from 1 species
UAAUUUUGAGAUUAGUUUGUUGAAAUUUUAGGUUUGGUGGUACAGGUUUGAUUAGUAGUUAUUGAUUGAUGUUUGUUUUUGUGAAGGAAUUGAAAAGCAUGUCAAGGAUUGAUAAUCCAAGAGAAUAUGCAUCUGAGAGAAUAAGUGGGCGAUUGAUAUUGAUUAAACACGGGGCUUUGUUGUUCAUGGUAUUGAAGUUGUUUACCUCUUAUGUGUUUUGUAGUUAUUAGUUAUGAUUUGGUGAUCCUAAAAUUGGUUUUUGUUGUAAACAGACGUGGAUUCCGUAUAAAGAGAAGACCGAUUCUACAGUGUCGAGCUCGAGCGCGAAUUCAAAGUUAUCUGAGAGCUCAAAACUCCACACACACACUCUCUCUCUCUUUUUUCUUGAAGGUAGCCAUGGGAAUGUGGCUUCUCAACAAAUUUUUGG